rnacentral:ncRNA from 1 species
GAAAGCCGUGUGCGGGAAAACCGCAUGCACGGUUUGAUGAGGGGAGGCAGGCGAAAGCCUGUUUCCUACUCUAC